rnacentral:rRNA from 1 species
CAGCAGCCGCGGUAAUACCGGCGACCCGAGUGGCGGUCACUCUUAUUGGGCUUAAAGCGUCCGUAGCCGGGUUGGGAAGUCCUCCGGGAAAUCUGGCCGCUUAACGGUCAGAAUGCCGGAGGAUACUCCCAGCCUAGGGAGCGGGAGAGGCCGAGGGUAUUCCCGGAGUAGGGGGGAAAUCCUAUAAUCCCGGGAGGACCACCUGUGGCGAAGGCGCUCGGCUGGAACGCGUCCGACGGUGAGGGACGAAGGCCAGGGGAGCAAACCGGAUUAGAUACCCGGGUAGUCCUGGCUGUAAACGAUGCGGACUUUGUGUCGGACAAGCUAUGAGCUUGUCCGGUGCCGGAGGGAAACCGUUAAGUCCGCCGCCUGGGGAGUACGGCCGCAAGGCUGAAACUUAAAGGAAUUGGCGGG